rnacentral:rRNA from 1 species
UACGUAGGGACCAAGCGUUGUUCGGAUUUACUGGGCGUAAAGGGCGCGUAGGCGGCGUGUUAAGUCACUUGUGAAAUCUCUAAGCUUAACUUAGAACGGUCAAGUGAUACUGAUGUGCUAGAGUGCAGAAGGGGCAACCGGAAUUCUUGGUGUAGCGGUGAAAUGCGCAGAUAUCAGGAGGAACACCGGUGGCGAAGGCGGGUCUCUGGGCCGAUACUGACGCUGGAGGAGCGAAAGCGUGGGGAGCGAACAGG